rnacentral:rRNA from 1 species
UACGUAGGGGGCAAGCGUUGUCCGGAUUUAUUGGGCGUAAAGAGCGUGUAGGCGGCCAGGUAGGUCCGUUGUGAAAACUCGAGGCUCAACCUCGAGACGUCGGCGGAAACCCUCUGGCUAGAGUCCGGAAGAGGAGCGUGGAAUUCCUGGUGUAGCGGUGAAAUGCGCAGAUAUCAGGAAGAACACCCGUGGCGAAGGCGGCUCUCUGGGACGGUACUGACGCUGAGACGCGAAAGCGUGGGGAGCAAACAGG